UAGACGGAAGCUUGUUGGUUUAGGCAUCUAGCUGUUAACUAGAAUUUCAUGGGAUCGAAGCCCAUCUGUCUAG
rnacentral:tRNA from 1 species